GAUGAACGCUGGCGGCGUGCCUAAUACAUGCAAGUCGAGCGAACAGACGAGGAGCUUGCUCCUCUGACGUUAGCGGCGGACGGGUGAGUAACACGUGGUUAACCUACCUAUAAGACUGGGAUAACUUCGGGAAACCGGAGCUAAUACCGGAUAAUAUAUUGAACCGCAUGGUUCAAUAGUGAAAGACGGUUUUGCUGUCACUUAUAGAUGGAUCCGCGCCGCAUUAGCUAGUUGGUAAGGUAACGGCUUACCAAGGCGACGAUGCGUAGCCGACCUGAGAGGGUGAUCGGCCACACUGGAACUGAGACACGGUCCAGACUCCUACGGGAGGCAGCAGUAGGGAAUCUUCCGCAAAGGGCGAAAGCCUGACGGAGCAACGCCGCGUGAGUGAUGAAGGUCUUCGGAUCGUAAAACUCUGUUAUUAGGGAAGAACAAAUGUGUAAGUAACUAUGCACGUCUUGACGGUACCUAAUCAGAAAGCCACGGCUAACUACGUG
rnacentral:rRNA from 1 species